GGAAAGGCGAAAAGAACCCCGGCGAGGGGAGUGAAAAAGAACCUGAAACCGUGUACGUACAAGCAGUGGGAGCCUCUUAAUGGGGUGACUGCGUACCUUUUGUAUAAUGGGUCAGCGACUUAUAUUCUGUAGCAAGGUUAACCGAAUAGGGGAGCCGAAGGGAAACCGAGUCUUAACUGGGCGUUAAGUUGCAGGGUAUAGACCCGAAACCCGGUGAUCUAGCCAUGGGCAGGUUGAAGGUUGGGUAACACUAACUGGAGGACCGAACCGACUAAUGUUGAAAAAUUAGCGGAUGACUUGUGGCUGGGGGUGAAAGGCCAAUCAAACCGGGAGAUAGCUGGUUCUCCCCGAAAGCUAUUUAGGUAGCGCCUCGUGAAUUCAUCUCCGGGGGUAGAGCACUGUUUCGGCAAGGGGGUCAUCCCGACUUACCAACCCGAUGCAAACUGCGAAUACCGGAGAAUGUUAUCACGGGAGACACACGGCGGGUGCUAACGUCCGUCGUGAAGAGGGAAACAACCCAGACCGCCAGCUAAGGUCCCAAAGUCAUGGUUAAGUGGGAAACGAUGUGGGAAGGCCCAGACAGCCAGGAUGUUGGCUUAGAAGCAGCCAUCAUUUAAAGAAAGCGUAAUAGCUCACUGGUCGAGUCGGCCUGCGCGGAAGAUGUAACGGGGCUAAACCAUG
rnacentral:rRNA from 1 species